rnacentral:rRNA from 1 species
GUGGGGAAUAUUGGACAAUGGGCGAAAGCCUGAUCCAGCCAUGCCGCGUGUGUGAAGAAGGUCUUCGGAUUGUAAAGCACUUUAAGUUGGGAGGAAGGGCAGUAAGUUAAUACCUUGCUGUUUUGACGUUACCGACAGAAUAAGCACCGGCUAACUUCGUGCCAGCAGCCGCGGUAAUACGAAGGGUGCAAGCGUUAAUCGGAAUUACUGGGCGUAAAGCGCGCGUAGGUGGUUUUGUAAGUUGGAGGUGAAAUCCCCGGGCUCAACCUGGGAACUGCCUCCAGAACUGCAUGACUAGAGUACGGUAGAGGGUAGUGGAAUUUCCUGUGUAGCGGUGAAAUGCGUAGAUAUAGGAAGGAACACCAGUGGCGAAGGCGACUACCUGGACUGAUACUGACACUGAGGUGCGAAAGCGUGGGGAGCAAACAGGAUUAGAAACCCCAGUAGUCC